rnacentral:snoRNA from 1 species
CCCCUCUCGGGAUCGCACCUGGAGAGGUUCCAGUCCUCUACCGGUCUCGACUGCGGGAGGGAGAGUCAAGCAGAGGCCUGUCCGUUCCAUUCCUAGCUUGGCCAGUGGUUAGCGAGUGGAGGGCAAUCUGCCACAAGU